rnacentral:rRNA from 1 species
AGCGAAAGCGUUAAGUAUUCCACCUGGGGAGUACGCCGGCAACGGUGAAACUCAAAGGAAUUGACGGGGGCCCGCACAAGCGGAGGAACAUGUGGUUUAAUUCGAUGAUACGCGAGGAACCUUACCCGGGCUCAAACGCAGGGGGAAUGUCGGUGAAAGCCGGCAGCUAGUAAUAGUCACCUGCGAGGUGCUGCAUGGUUGUCGUCAGCUCGUGCCGUGAGGUGUCGGCUUAAGUGCCAUAACGAGCGCAACCCCUAUCGACAGUUACUAACGGGUGAAGCCGAGGACUCUGUCGAGACUGCCGGCGCAAGCCGCGAGGAAGGUGGGGAUGACGUCAAAUCAGCACGGCCCUUACGUCCGGGGCGACACACGUGUUACAAUGGCAGGUACAGAAGGCAGCCAGUCAGCAAUGACGCGCGAAUCCCGAAAACCUGUCUCAGUUCGGAUUGGAGUCUGCAACCCGACUCCAUGAAGCUGGAUUCGCUAGUAAUCGCGCAUCAGCCAUGGCGCGGUGAAUACGUUCCCGGGCCUUGUACUCACCGCCCGUC